rnacentral:lncRNA from 1 species
AGCCAGAAGUAUCUCCUACUAGACUUCAUUUUCAAAUUGACUAUGUUUGCUAUUUUCUUUUAAUACUGUUUAUACUAUUUUUUGACGAAAGUAUGUGUUAUGAAUAAUGUUGUACCAUACAUUUAUCUCAGUCUAAUGUAUGUAUUGUUUUAAGGAAACAACAGCAGUAAAACUGUAGAGAACAUCGAUCCAGGUAAGGCGGAAACAGUCACAAACUCGGGUAUAUUAAUCAAUUAAUCAAGCAAAUAAGCAAAUGCACAACCAAAAACAUCAAGUGAACAAC